GCCAAGAGUGGCACUUUACCGUCAAGGAUUGAUUUUCUUUCAGAAGCGGAAGCAUUAUCACCAUCUCAGAAACCAUCAGAAUGCAAUUGUCAGUAAUCUUUGUCAGAUAAGAGAUGCUUGGCUCAGUUGCCCUGGUUAUAGCAUUGAGGAGAAGCUUCAAGUGCUGAACAUUAAGAAGAAUGAGAAGAUUUUAAUGUACGAGAAAUUUGAAGAAUUGGGAAGUGAUGGAUCCGAGAGAGAGGAGUUCAGUGAUACUUUGUGGGGCAAAAGGACAAAAGAUCGUAAUUUUGGUCAGAAUAUGGGCUGUUAUUCUGGAUAUGGAGUAGGGUCAGCCUUGGAUUCAUCAUCUAGACAAAUGGCUUCGGAAGCUGCCAGAUACAAAAAGCAGAACCUAAAAGGGAAUUUGAAGGUAGGUGGAACAAAGGGUUCUGCAUUGCCUCCUUUUCGUCGCGGUAAAGGAAUGGACUAUAAUUCUGGGAUGGCUGUACCAAUGAGGGAUAUGUUGAAUGGCAAUUAUGAGGAUGAUGGGAUGUAUGAAGUGGAUGUGCAGAGAGAGAGAAUCUUUUCACGGGCAGGGGCUGUUGAUAGAAGUGGGACUGUAAAAU
rnacentral:misc_RNA from 1 species